UACAGAGGGUGCGAGCGUUAAUCGGAAUUACUGGGCGUAAAGCGCGCGUAGGCGGCUUGUUAAGUCGGAUGUGAAAUCCCUGGGCUCAACCUAGGCAUUGCAUUCGAUACUGGCAAGCUAGAGUAUGGGAGAGGAAGGUAGAAUUCCAGGUGUAGCAGUGAAAUGCGUAGAUAUCGAGAGGAACACCAGUGGCGAAGGCGAGUCCCUGGACAACUCCUGACACUGAGGCACGAAAGCUAGGGGAGCAAACAGG
rnacentral:rRNA from 1 species